rnacentral:tRNA from 1 species
GGCGGAGUAGCUCAGUUGGUAGAGCAGAGGACUCAUAAGCCUCGAGUCGGCGGUUCGAUUCCGCCCUCCGCCA